rnacentral:rRNA from 1 species
AGUGAACGCUGGCGGUAGGCCUAACACAUGCAAGUCGAACGGUAACAGGUCUUCGGAUGCUGACGAGUGGCGAACGGGUGAGUAAUACAUCGGAACGUGCCUAGUAGUGGGGGAUAACUACUCGAAAGAGUGGCUAAUACCGCAUGAGAUCUACGGAUGAAAGCAGGGGAUCGCAAGACCUUGUGCUACUAGAGCGGCCGAUGGCAGAUUAGGUAGUUGGUGGGAUAAAAGCUUACCAAGCCGACGAUCUGUAGCUGGUCUGAGAGGACGAUCAGCCACACUGGGACUGAGACACGGCCCAGACUCCUACGGGAGGCAGCAGUGGGGAAUUUUGGACAAUGGGCGAAAGCCUGAUCCAGCAAUGCCGCGUGCAGGAUGAAGGCCUUCGGGUUGUAAACUGCUUUUGUACGGAGCGAAAAGCCCCGGGUUAAUACCCUGGGGUCAUGACGGUACCGUAAGAAUAAGCAACGGCUAACUACGUGCCAGCAGCCGCAGUAA